rnacentral:rRNA from 1 species
UACGUAGGUGGCAAGCGUUGUCCGGAUUUAUUGGGUUUAAAGGGUGCGUAGGCGGCCAAUUAAGUCAGUGCUGAAAUACUCUAGCUUAACUAGAGGGGUGGCAUUGAUACUGAUUGGCUUGAGUGAAGUCGAAGUAGGCGGAAUUGACGGUGUAGCGGUGAAAUGCUUAGAUAUCGUCAAGAACACCGAUAGUGAAGACAGCUUACUAGACUUCAACUGACGCUGAGGCACGAAAGUGUGGGUAGCAAACAGG